rnacentral:ncRNA from 1 species
UGUCAUAAGAUUUCCCAAAAAUCAAUCUCAAUGAAGAGGGUGUUGAAAUGAAGGAAACAUUUGAGGGCAUUCAAUAACUUUUUCCCCUUCAAGCAACAUCACAGACAACCUUCCAUCCAAAGUCAACAAAAUUGAUACCCAUUUUUGAGAGUUGUUGGUGCCUUAUCCUAUAACUGAUGACAAUGUUAGGAAAUUCGAAGAUGUCGUCGGGGGCCCCAAGAAGAGUUAUCUUUUCUUUUUAAUAGCUUGCGCACCCUGAAAUCGGCUCAACCGGAGAUAGGGUCCAUCAGCUGGAAGAGCAUCACACAUCUUGCAGUGUCCGAUGCACCCUCGACAACCCUUGAAAUCUGGAGGACCGAGUACCGUCCAUGCCCGGUCAUACUCAUAAUCGCAUCAGGUCUCCAAGGUGAACAACCUCU